UACAGAGGUCUCAAGCGUUGUUCGGAUUCAUUGGGCGUAAAGGGUGCGUAGGCGGCGCGGUAAGUCGGGUGUGAAAUCUCGGAGCUUAACUCCGAAACUGCAUUCGAUACUGCCGUGCUUGAGGACUGGAGAGGAGACUGGAAUUUACGGUGUAGCGGUGAAAUGCGUAGAUAUCAUUUGGAACGCCAAUGGUGAAAACAGGUAGCUGGGAGUGUGCUGACGCUGAGACACGAAAGCCAGGGGAGCGAACGGG
rnacentral:rRNA from 1 species